GAUGAACGCUGGCGGCGUGCCUAAUACAUGCAAGUCGAGCGAACAGACGAGGAGCUUGCUCCUCUGACGUUAGCGGCGGACGGGUGAGUAACACGUGGAUAACCUACCUAUAAGACUGGGAUAACUUCGGGAAACCGGAGCUAAUACCGGAUAAUAUAUUGAACCGCAUGGUUCAAUAGUGAAAGACGGUUUUGCUGUCACUUAUAGAUGGAUCCGCGCCGCAUUAGCUAGUUGGUAAGGUAACGGCUUACCAAGGCGACGAUGCGUAGCCGACCUGAGAGGGUGAUAGGCCACACUGGAACUGAGACACGGUCCAGACUCCUACGGGAGGCAGCAGUAGGGAAUCGUCCGCAAUGGGCGAAAGCCUGACGGAGCAACGCCGCGUGAGUGAUGAAGGUCUUCGGAUCGUAAAACUCUGUUAUUAGGGAAGAACAAAUGUGUAAGUAACUAUGCACGUCUUGACGGUACCUAAUCAGAAAGCCACGGCUAACUACGUG
rnacentral:rRNA from 1 species